rnacentral:rRNA from 1 species
GUUAAGCGACUAAGCGUACACGGUGGAUGCCCUGGCAGUCAGAGGCGAUGAAGGACGUGCUAAUCUGCGAUAAGCGUCGGUAAGGUGAUAUGAACCGUUAUAACCGGCGAUUUCCGAAUGGGGAAACCCAGUGUGAUUCGUCACACUAUCAUUAACUGAAUCCAUAGGUUAAUGAGGCGAACCGGGGGAACUGAAACAUCUAAGUACCCCGAGGAAAAGAAAUCAACCGAGAUUCCCCCAGUAGCGGCGAGCGAACGGGGAGGAGCCCAGAGCCUGAAUCAGUGUGUGUGUUAGUGGAAGCGUCUGGAAAGGCGCGCGAUACAGGGUGACAGCCCCGUACACAAAAAUGCACAUACUGUGAGCUCGAUGAGUAGGGCGGGACACGUGGUAUCCUGUCUGAAUAUGGGGGGACCAUCCUCCAAGGCUAAAUACUCCUGACUGACCGAUAGUGAACCAGUACCGUGAGGGAAAGGCGAAAAGAACCCCGGCGAGGGGAGUGAAAAAGAACCUGAAACCGUGUACGUACAAGCAGUGGGAGCACGCUUCGGCGUGUGACUGCGUACCUUUUGUAUAAUGGGUCAGCGACUUAUAUUCUGUAGCAAGGUUAACCGAAUAGGGGAGCCGAAGGGAAACCGAGUCUUAACUGGGCGUUAAGUUGCAGGGUAUAGACCCGAAACCCGGUGAUCUAGCCAUGGGCAGGUUGAAGGUUGGGUAACACUAACUGGAGGACCGAACCGACUAAUGUUGAAAAAUUAGCGGAUGACUUGUGGCUGGGGGUGAAAGGCCAAUCAAACCGGGAGAUAGCUGGUUCUCCCCGAAAGCUAUUUAGGUAGCGCCUCGUGAAUUCAUCUCCGGGGGUAGAGCACUGUUUCGGCAAGGGGGUCAUCCCGACUUACCAACCCGAUGCAAACUGCGAAUACCGGAGAAUGUUAUCACGGGAGACACACGGCGGGUGCUAACGUCCGUCGUGAAGAGGGAAACAACCCAGACCGCCAGCUAAGGUCCCAAAGUCAUGGUUAAGUGGGAAACGAUGUGGGAAGGCCCAGACAGCCAGGAUGUUGGCUUAGAAGCAGCCAUCAUUUAAAGAAAGCGUAAUAGCUCACUGGUCGAGUCGGCCUGCGCGGAAGAUGUAACGGGGCUAAACCAUGCACCGAAGCUGCGGCAGCGACACUAUGUGUUGUUGGGUAGGGGAGCGU